rnacentral:rRNA from 1 species
UACGGGGGGGGCAAGCGUUGUUCGGAAUUACUGGGCGUAAAGGGCUCGUAGGUGGCCAACUAAGUCAGACGUGAAAUCCCUCGGCUUAACCGGGGAACUGCGUCCGAUACUGGCAGGCUUGAAUCCGGGAGAGGGAUGCGGAAUUCCAGGUGUAGCGGUGAAAUGCGUAGAUAUCUGGAGGAACACCGGUGGCGAAGGCGGCAUCCUGGACCGGCAUUGACGCUGAGGCGCGAAAGCCAGGGGAGCAAACGGG